rnacentral:rRNA from 1 species
GACGAACCGUGCGAACGUUGUUCGGAAUUACUGGGCGUAAAGGGCGCGUAGGCGGCCUGUUAAGUCGGACGUGAAAUCCCUCGGCUCAACCGGGGAACUGCGUCUGAUACUGGCGGGCUUGAAUUCGGGAGAGGGAUGUGGAAUUCCAGGUGUAGCGGUGAAAUGCGUAGAUAUCUGGAGGAACACCGGUGGCGAAGGCGGCAUCCUGGACCGACAUUGACGCUGAGGCGCGAAAGCCAGGGGAGCAAACGGG